ACGCGAUGGCGAUACAAUCUUCCUUCCCCCUCCAAAUUGUGAGAGCAUCAGCAUUAGCCUGACUACCUCCCCUCUUCCGAGAAGCUGGAAAAAGUUCAGCUCCAACUCUCGGUGAUACUGUGAGAGGGCCUCCUACAUGCUUUCGGGCUCAGCCCUAUCCCUGCAUCAAUAGGCGCUCCUUUUGAAAAUUAAAGGUGGCUAAUGAUUGAUUCCAUUACUUUUAAUCUUGCUUAGAACAUCACCGUGAGUUGUAUACGUACAUACCUGAAGGUAAGGUGUACGUCAUUUUACAAUUCAAUCAGAUAUAUAUGUUCCUUGUUGUCUUAUAAAAUCAGAUAUUAGAUAUAGAUUAUAAAACAAACCAACUUGAAGGUCUCGAAGAGGUCAUCGCACGCCUCAACGUGGCAUUAGAGAAGAAGAAAAAGGAGAUUGCAGAGUUCGAGUUGAAGUAUAAUAUUAAGAUAAGAAAGGCAGAUAGUGAGACCAAGGAGGAUACUAGCCAGAAAGAAGGCUCCGCACAGGGGGUUCUUGUAGGUCCUGCAAGCUGAGUAGAAGGAAGAGCUGGGAAGAAAUAAGUUAACGAUCAGGUUAUGCAGGUGCUAUAAUGCUAGUGGUGUUUAGUAUUGGCAUGCAGGUCUUCUCUGUUUUAGUUGUCUGAUCAGUAAAGAACUAGAAACCAAUGGGAUUCUUGAGCUGUGGAAGUAGAAUUCUUCUCUGUUUUA